UACGUAGGUGGCAAGCGUUGUCCGGAUUUAUUGGGCGUAAAGGGAGCGCAGGUGGUUUCUUAAGUCUGAUGUGAAAGCCCACGGCUCAACCGUGGAGGGUCAUUGGAAACUGGGGAACUUGAGUGCAGAGGAGGAAAGUGGAAUUCCAAGUGUAGCGGUGGAAUGCGUAGAUAUUUGGAGGAACACCAGUGGCGAAGGCGACUUUCUGGUCUGUAACUGACACUGAGGCUCGAAAGCGUGGGGAGCAAACAGGAUUAGAUACCCCGGUAGUCCCUGA
rnacentral:rRNA from 1 species